rnacentral:rRNA from 1 species
GAUGAACGCUGGCGGCGUGCCUAAUACAUGCAAGUCGAGCGAACGGACGAUAAGCUCGCUUCUCUGCUGUUAGCGGCGGACGGACGGGUAACACGUGGAUAACCUUCCUAUUAUACUGGGAUAACUUCGGGAAACCGUAUCUACUACCGGCUCAUAUUUUCAACCGCAUGGUUCAAAAGUGCAUGACGGUCUUGCUGUCACUUAUAGAUGGUUCCGCGCUGCAUUAGCUAGUUGGUAAGGUAACGGCCUACCAAGGCAACGAUGCAUAGCCGACCUGAGAGGGUGAUCGGCCACACUGGAACUGAGACACGGUCCAGACUCCUACGGGAGGCAGCAGUAGGGAAUCUUCCGCAAUGGGCGAAAGCCUGACGGAGCAACGCCGCGUGGGUGAUGAAGGUCUUCGGAUCGUAAAACUCUGUUAUUAGGGAAGAACAUAUGUGUAAGUAACUGUGCACAUCUUGACGGUACCUAAUCAGAAAGCCACGACUAACUACGUG